UUUUUAUGGGUGGUCAUUGGU
ensembl:piRNA 21ur-9542 ncRNA